UCGCCACCAACAAGAUAUUUAUAUCUACAUUAAACACAUCAUCGUGAGGAAGAUCGAUCCAUGAUCCAUGCGAUGCCGUCUGGCCAUCAUCUACCCCGAACCCCCCCUCCCUAUCUCUCAUCGCUCGUCGGGAGUGAAGAACAGGACCAGGACCCAUCUAUCACGAACCUCCUCCUCACCCAUAGUCACAGCCAUCAAUUCCUCCUCCCGACGCCGGACGCCUGCAGCGUCAUCGCAGCCCGACCUCCCGCGGCAGCCGACCGCCGCAGUCGCUCUGCGCCCUUAAGAUCUCCCUCGCGAGCGCCUGGUGGCCCGUCAACAGGAGCCCGUUCAAGACCCGGUUGAAGGUGAGCCUCCGCGGCACGUACCCCUGCUCCACCAUCUCCACCAGCAGGUGCCCCGCGGUCAGCAUGUCCUCCGCCCUCCUCCUGGCGAACAUGGCCCGAAUCAGCACGUUGUACGUGUCCAGGUUCGGCAGGCACCCUCCGCCCUCCUCCCCCGCCGCCAGCCCGCGGAACAGACGAAGGCCCUCGUCGAUCUCCCCGGCCUCGCAUCGAUGGCGGAUCAGGAUGUUGUAGGUCUGCACGCUCGGAUCGCAACCCUCGCGCCUCAUUCUCUCCAGGAAGCCCGCCGCCCCUUCCGCCGCCCCGGCGUGGCAGAGCCCCCUGAUGAUCAGAUUGUAAGUGACGCAGUUUGGAGUGUACCCCUUCCCCACCAUCUCUUCAAACACCGCGAGGGCGUUGCCAACCGUGUCCUUCUUGCAGAUGACUUGGAUGAGGGCGUUAUAGGUCGCCACGGACGGCAGGCACCCCUGCCUGGUCAUUUCCCCGAACAUCUUCCGGGCCCUGCAAAUCUGGCCGGCCAUCCCCAGACCGUGCACCAGUAUCGUGUAGGACACCACAUCAGGUCG
rnacentral:lncRNA from 1 species